rnacentral:rRNA from 1 species
AGAGUUUGAUCCUGGCUCAGGAUGAACGCUGGCGGCGUGCCUAAUACAUGCAAGUCGAGCGGAGUUGAAAAGCUUGCUUUUCAACUUAGCGGCGGACGGGUGAGUAACACGUGGGCAACCUGCCUGUAAGACUGGGAUAACUUCGGGAAACCGGAGCUAAUACCGGAUAACCUGUAAGACCACAUGGUCUUACAAUAAAAGAUGGCGUAAGCUAUCACUUACAGAUGGGCCCGCGGCGCAUUAGCUAGUUGGUGAGGUAACGGCUCACCAAGGCGACGAUGCGUAGCCGACCUGAGAGGGUGAUCGGCCACACUGGGACUGAGACACGGCCCAGACUCCUACGGGAGGCAGCAGUAGGGAAUCUUCCGCAAUGGACGAAAGUCUGACGGAGCAACGCCGCGUGAACGAUGAAGGCCUUCGGGUCGUAAAGUUCUGUUGUUAAGGAAGAACAAGUACGAGAGUAACUGCUCGUACCUUGACGGUACUUAACCAGAAAGCCACGGCUAACUACGUGCCAGCAGCCGCGGUAAUACGUAGGUGGCAAGCGUUAUCCGGAAUUAUUGGGCGUAAAGCGCGCGCAGGCGGUUCCUUAAGUCUGAUGUGAAAGCCCCCGGCUCAACCGGGGAGGGUCAUUGGAAACUGGGGAACUUGAGUGCAGAAGAGGAGAGUGGAAUUCCACGUGUAGCGGUGAAAUGCGUAGAGAUGUGGAGGAACACCAGUGGCGAAGGCGACUCUCUGGUCUGUAACUGACGCUGAGGCGCGAAAGCGUGGGGAGCGAACAGGAUUAGAUACCCUGGUAGUCCACGCCGUAAACGAUGAGUGCUAAGUGUUAGAGGGUUUCCGCCCUUUAGUGCUGCAGCAAACGCAUUAAGCACUCCGCCUGGGGAGUACGGUCGCAAGACUGAAACUCAAAGGAAUUGACGGGGGCCCGCACAAGCGGUGGAGCAUGUGGUUUAAUUCGAAGCAACGCGAAGAACCUUACCAGGUCUUGACAUCCUCUGACACUCCUAGAGAUAGGAAUUUCCCUUCGGGGACAGAGUGACAGGUGGUGCAUGGUUGUCGUCAGCUCGUGUCGUGAGAUGUUGGGUUAAGUCCCGCAACGAGCGCAACCCUUGAUCUUAGUUGCCAGCAUUAAGUUGGGCACUCUAAGGUGACUGCCGGUGACAAACCGGAGGAAGGUGGGGAUGACGUCAAAUCAUCAUGCCCCUUAUGACCUGGGCUACACACGUGCUACAAUGGAUGGAACAAAGGGCAGCAAGACCGCGAGGUGGAGCGAAUCCCAUAAAACCAUUCUCAGUUCGGAUUGCAGGCUGCAACUCGCCUGCAUGAAGCCGGAAUCGCUAGUAAUCGCGGAUCAGCAUGCCGCGGUGAAUACGUUCCCGGGCCUUGUACACACCGCCCGUCACACCACGAGAGUUUGUAACACCCGAAGUCGGUGGGGUAACCUUUUGGAGCCAGCCGCCUAAGGUGGGACAGAUGAUUGGGGUGAAGUCGUAACAAGGUA